UCUUUGAACUGUGAUAGUUUUUUUGUUUUUUGAGUUGCUAGUAGGAUAUUUUAGAAAGUAAGUUUUUAUUCUCCAGCUUUCUGAGUAAAUCAGCGGUGACCAGACAACCCCUGAGAUGAAUCACAGAUGGGUUCCAAUGUUUCUUGUUUACUAAUUUCAUCUCACAUUU
rnacentral:snoRNA from 1 species